GAUGAACGCUGGCGGCGUGCCUAAUACAUGCAAGUCGAGCGGCAGCGCGAGUAGUUUACUACUUGGCGGCGAGCGGCGGACGGCUGAGUAACACGUAGGAACGUACCCCGAAGUGAGGGAUAACUGCUCGAAAGAGUAGCUAAUACCGCAUGUGAUCUAAGGAUUAAGGCUUUAUGCGCUGUGGGAACGGCCUGCGUCCGAUUAGCUAGUUGGUGAGGUAAAAGCUUACCAAGGCGACGAUCGGUAGCUGGUCUGAGAGGAUGAUCAGCCGGACUGGGACUGAGACACGGCCCAGACUCCUACGGGAGGCAGCAGUAGGGAAUUUUCCACAAUGGGCGAAAGCCUGAUGGAGCAACGCCGCGUGCAGGAUGAAGGCCUUAGGGUUGUAAACUGCUUUUAUAUGUGACGAUUAUGACGGUAGCAUAUGAAUAAGGAUCGGCUAACUCCGUGCCAGCAGCCGCCGUAA
rnacentral:rRNA from 1 species